GACGAACGCUGGCGGCGUGCUUUACACAUGCAAGUCGAACGGUGAAGGUGGAGCUUGCUCCGCCGGAUCAGUGGCGAACGGGUGAGUAACACGUGGGCAACCUGCCCCUAACUUUGGGAUAACUACUCGAAAGAGUAGCUAAUACCGGAUACGAAGUCUGUAGGCAUCUACGGAUUUGGCAAGUUUUUCGGUUAGGGAUGGGCCCGCGGCCUAUCAGCUUGUUGGUGAGGUAGUGGCUCACCAAGGCGACGACGGGUAGCCGGCCUGAGAGGGCGACCGGCCACACUGGGACUGAGACACGGCCCAGACUCCUACGGGAGGCAGCAGUGGGGAAUAUUGCGCAAUGGGCGAAAGCCUGACGCAGCAACGCCGCGUGCGGGAUGAAGGCCUUCGGGCUGUAAACCGCUUUCAGCAGGGAAGAAGCGAAAGUGACGGUACCUGCAGAAGAAGCACCGGCUAACUACGUGCCAGCAGCCGCCGUAACAC
rnacentral:rRNA from 1 species